AAGCUACUUUAUCCACCUUGAUCU
rnacentral:siRNA from 1 species